ACGGAAGGCAGCAGCUAAGAAUAUUCCGCAAUGGACGAAAGUCUGACGGAGCGACGCCGCGUGGAUGAUGAAGGCCGGAAGGUUGUAAAAUCCUUUUGAAACCGAGGAAUAAGUCCUGCAGGGAAUGGCAGGAUGGUGACUGUAAGUUUUGAAUAAGCAACGGCUAAUUACGUGCCAGCAGCCGCGGUAACACGUAAGUUGCGAGCGUUGUUCGGAAUUAUUGGGCGUAAAGGGCAUGUAGGCGGUUUUGCAAGCUUGGUGUGAAAUCCCGGAGCUCAACUCCGGAAUUGCGUUGAGAACUGCAUAACUAGAGUCACUGAGGGGCAAUCAGAAUUCCAGGUGUAGGGGUGAAAUCUGUAGAUAUCUGGAAGAAUACCAAUGGCGAAGGCAGGUUACCAGCAGAUGACUGACGCUGAGGUGCGAAGGUGCGGGGAGCAAACAGGAUUAGAUACCCUGGUA
rnacentral:rRNA from 1 species